rnacentral:rRNA from 1 species
CGGGACGGGUGGAGGUAACGACGUCGGGCGAACCUAGCCCUCGCACUGGGGGACGAACAGCCGAACGGACUGCUAAUACCGCAUAUGCCCGCAGCCCCGCAUGGGGCGGCGGGGGAAGCUCCGGCGGUGCAGGAUGGGCCCGCGUCUGAUUAGCUUGUUGGCGGGGCAACGGCCCACCAAGGCGACGAUCAGUAGCCGGCCUGAGAGGGUGGGCGGCCACAUUGGGACUGAGACACGGCCCAGACUCCUACGGAAGGCAGCAG